rnacentral:rRNA from 1 species
GGCAGCAGCUAAGAAUAUUCCGCAAUGGGCGAAAGCCUGACGGAGCGACGCCGCGUGCACGAUGGAGGCCGGAAGGUUGUAAAGUGCUUUUAUGACGGAGGAAGAAGCCGGGGAGGAAACGCCCCGGCGGCGACGGUACGCCAUGAAUAAGGGGCGGCUAAUUACGUGCCAGCAGCCGCGGUAACACGUAAGCCCCGAGCGUUGUUCGGAAUUAUUGGGCGUAAAGGGCGCGCAGGCGGCCGAGCAAGUCUGGAGUGAAAUCCCCGGGCCCAACCCGGGAACUGCUUUGGAAACUGCUUGGCUGGAGUCGCCGAAGGGAAGCCGGAAUUCCUGGUGUAGGGGUGAAAUCUGUAGAUAUCAGGAAGAACACCGAUGGCGAAGGCAGGCUUCCGGCGGACGACUGACGCUGAGGCGCGAAGGCGCGGGGAGCAAACAGGAUUAGAUACCCUGGUAGUCCGCGCAGUCAACGAUGCACACCGGGCGUCCGGACAUGAGUCUGGGUGCCGUAGCGAACGCGUUAAGUGUGCCGCCUGGGGAGUAUGCCCGCAAGGGUGAAACUCAAAGGAAUUGACGG